rnacentral:rRNA from 1 species
UACGUAGGGGGCAAGCGUUGUCCGGAUUUAUUGGGCGUAAAGAGCGUGUAGGCGGCUAGGUAGGUCCGCUGUGAAAACUCGAGGCUCAACCUCGAGCUGUCGGUGGAAACCAUCUGGCUAGAGUCCGGAAGAGGAGAGUGGAAUUCCCGGUGUAGCGGUGAAAUGCGCAGAUAUCGGGAAGAACACCCGUGGCGAAGGCGGCUCUCUGGGACGGUACUGACGCUGAGACGCGAAAGCGUGGGGAGCGAACAGG